GUGUGUGUGUGUGUGUGUGUGUGUGUGUUGACAAAGCAUACAAGACAGGUAGCUUGUUAAUGCCAACUAAUAUAUUUGGGUUCAGUUGUCUUAACAAAACGUUUGUUUGUUUUCAGGAUGACAUCUUCAUCCCUGAAAAUGUUUUCAUCCUGGAGGAGACUGUGCAGGAGGCAGAGGAAAGAACGGUUAGUACAGCAUGCCAAACUGACCCCUGGGUGCCUGAGUGUUCCUCUGCUGCGGCGGAGAAGAGGUCCACCAGGACCACCACUAAAGAGCUCGAGGCCCAGCUAGAUUGCACUGACGACCAUCAGUAUACAACCGAGGCCUGCCCCUAUACGCCACAGAUGGAGCUGACGGAGAGUGAGAUGAGUGAAGACCAGGACUCGCUGUAUGAACCUGAGUGCACAGAA